rnacentral:rRNA from 1 species
AUUGAACGCUGGCGGCAUGCCUUACACAUGCAAGUCGAACGGCAGCACGGGAGCAAUCCUGGUGGCGAGUGGCGAACGGGUGAGUAAAGUAUCGGAACGUGCCCAGUCGUGGGGGAUAACGUAGCGAAAGUUACGCUAAUACCGCAUACGAUCUAUGGAUGAAAGCGGGGGAUCGCAAGACCUCGCGCGAUUGGAGCGGCCGAUAUCAGAUUAGGUAGUAGGUGGGGUAAAGGCUAACCAAGCCGACGAUCUGUAGCUGGUCUGACAGGACGACCAGCCACACUGGGACUGAGACACGGCCCAGACUCCUCCGGGAGGCAGCAGUGGGGAAUUUUGGACAAUGGGCGAAAGCCUGAUCCAGCCAUGCCGCGUGCAGGCUGAAGGCCUUCCGGUUGUAAACUGCUUUUGUACGGAACGAAAAGGUUUGGCCUAAUAAGCUGAGCUCAUGACGGUACCGUAAGAAUAAGCACCGGCUAACUACGUGCCAGCCGCCGCGGUAA